GUUCCGCCACUGCACUGGGCUGUCCCGCCCCCACAGCUCCGCUCCGCUCCCACACCACACGGGGCCCUGCACCCACUCACUAACCACUGCUACUUGCCUGCUCAGCUGCAGUCACUGUUGGCCAGUCUGACUCACCGCUUUUAUGUGCUCUGUUACCUCGGGCAGUAUAAGAAAUUCCUAUUCCUGAGACGGACUUCCCUUGACGCUCGAGAAAGCUGCUGGCCUCCCCCUUCUGAGCUGUGCCUGCGCUGUAGCACCCAAGGUAGUUGACGUCCUCGAGGCUUGUGAAACCCAAAACACACACAGAGGACAGCAAUGACCCCACAUACCACUGGCAGAUGAAGCAGCUCACUUUCAUUCCCUGAGGACAGAGAUUUGUCUCCGCUUCAUUUAUGUCUGCACCGAGCGGGUAUAGGACCCAGAUGGAUUUCUGCAAAGAAUGUGAAUCCAUACCACGUGCAAAAACACACUGAUGACCCCACAAGCAAAGAAGAAAGCACACAGAUAUGAACUACACAGAGACUAUAAUUCAUAUCUGAAAUCUCUUGUCCUCAUCGCAAAAGCUUUAGUUCCUGGUCCUGCUCCUCCUCUGGGUAUUCG